AGGGUUUGAUCCUGGCUCAGAACGUACGCUGGCGGCACGCCUAACACAUGCAAGUCGAACGAAGUAGCAAUACUUAGUGGCAGACGGGUGAGUAACAUGUAGGUAUCUGCCCUUUGGCCUGGAAUAACACGAGGAAACUUGUGCUAAUACUGGAUAAGUCUUUACGGAGAAAGCUUUAUGCACCAUUGGAUGAGCCUGCACUUGAUUAGUUUGUUGGUAGGGUAAUGGCCUACCAAGACUGUGAUCAAUAGCUGAUUUGAGAGGAUGAUCAGCCACAUUGGGACUGAGACACGGCCCAAACUCCUACGGGAGGCAGCAGUGGGGAAUCUUGCACAAUGGAGGAAACUCUGAUGCAGCGAUGCCGCGUGAGUGAAGAAGGCCUUUGGGUUGUAAAGCUCUUUCGUCGGGGAAGAAAAUGACUGUACCCGAAUAAGAAGGUCCGGCUAACUUCGUGCCAGCAGCCGCGGUAAUACGAAGGGACCUAGCGUAGUUCGGAAUUACUGGGCUUAAAGAGUUCGUAGGUGGUUGAAAAAGUUGGUGGUGAAAUCCCAGAGCUUAACUCUGGAACUGCCAUCAAAACUUUUCAGCUAGAGUAUGAUAGAGGAAAGCAGAAUUUCUAGUGUAGAGGUGAAAUUCGUAGAUAUUAGAAAGAAUACCAAUUGCGAAGGCAGCUUUCUGGAUCAUUACUGACACUGAGGAACGAAAGCAUGGGUAGCGAAGAGGAUUAGAUACCCUCGUAGUCCAUGCCGUAAACGAUGUGUGUUAGACGUUGGAAAUUUAUUUUCAGUGUCGCAGCGAAAGCGAUAAACACACCGCCUGGGGAGUACGACCGCAAGGUUAAAACUCAAAUGAAUUGACGGGGACCCGCACAAGUAGUGGAGCAUGUGGUUUAAUUCGAAGAUACGCGCAGAACCUUACCAACACUUGACAUGUUCGUCGCGACUUUAAGAGAUUAAAGUUUUCGGUUCGGCCGGACGAAACACAGGUGCUGCAUGGCUGUCGUCAGCUCGUGUCGUGAGAUGUUGGGUUAAGUCCCGCAACGAGCGCAACCCUCACUUUUAGUUGCCAUCAUUUAGUUGGGCACUCUGAAAGAACUGCCAGUGAUAAGCUGGAGGAAGGUGGGGAUGACGUCAAGUCCUCAUGGCCCUUACGUGUUGGGCUACACACGUGCUACAAUGGUAUCUACAACAGGAAGCAAGACUGCGAGGUCAAGCAAAUCCUUAAAAGAUACCUCAGUUCGGAUUGCACUCUGCAACUCGAGUGCAUGAAGCUGGAAUUACUAGUAAUCGUGGAUCAGCGUGCCACGGUGAAUGCGUUCCCGGGUCUUGUACACACCGCCCGUCACACCAUGGGAGUUGGUUCUACCUUAAGGCAAGGUUUAAAACCCUUGACCACGGUAUAGUCAGCGACUGGGGUGAAGUCGUAACAAGGUAGCCGUA
rnacentral:rRNA from 1 species